rnacentral:rRNA from 1 species
UACGUAGGUGGCGAGCGUUGUCCGGAAUUAUUGGGCGUAAAGAGCAUGUAGGCGGUUUUUUAAGUCUGGAGUGAAAAUGCGGGGCUCAACCCCGUAUGGCUCUGGAUACUGGAAGACUUGAGUGCAGGAGAGGAAAGGGGAAUUCCCAGUGUAGCGGUGAAAUGCGUAGAUAUUGGGAGGAACACCAGUGGCGAAGGCGCCUUUCUGGACUGUGUCUGACGCUGAG